rnacentral:rRNA from 1 species
GAUGAACGCUGGCGGCGUGCCUAACACAUGCAAGUGGAGCGACGAACCCGGACUUGUCCGGGGGCAAAGCCGCGAACGGGUGAGUAACACGUGGAUUAUCUGCCCCAAUGACCGGGACAACCCGAGGAAACUCGAGCUAAUACCGGAUGUGCUCUUCGGAGGAAAGGAAGCUUCGGCCUCCGCAUCGGGAUGAGUCCGCGGCGCAUUAGCUAGUUGGUGGGGUAAUGGCCUACCAAGGCGACGAUGCGUAGCUGGUCUGAGAGGACGAUCAGCCACACUGGAACUGAGACACGGUCCAGACUCCUACGGGAGGCAGCAGUGGGGAAUCUUGCGCAAUGCACGAAAGUGUGACGCAGCAACGCCGCGUGCGGGAAGAAGGUCUUCGGAUCGUAAACCGCUUUCAGUUGGGACGAGGGUCAGCUGGUGAAUGGCCAGUCUGACUGACGGUACCUUCAGAAGAAGCCCCGGCUAACUACGUGCCAGCCGCCGCAGUAAUAC